AUAAAGCCUACAUCUCAGAACUUAUUUCCAAGGAGAUAUCUAAUUUGUCUAUUUGUCCUUGAUUCUAUUAUAAACCAUGAGGAUUUGGUGGAGGGUUAGAGAGAGGACUACUUUGAAGGCUACGACAAUCUAAUGCCCAACCGGUUGGAAGUUGAAUAACUGCCUGACCCUGUUCUGCUCACUUGCACUGACUCAAGCAGUCACCUCAAAUACCCUCUGGAGCUGCCAGAGGACGAUUCUCUGCGUUGUUCAAAGUCACCGAGCUGAGAGGGAAGGUGUCAUUGAACCACACACUACAGCAUCUGACUUCAAAGCUUCCUGUCCACAAAUUCCAGCAAGAGGAUCAUCAUCCAUGAAGUUUCAAGAGUGGAAAGUCCUUUAUUCAGAACAGGACAAACAGCCAGAACGUAAGCAAGCUGCCAACCUCGCAUGGAGAUGCAGAGGAAAACUCAGACCUGCAUCUGCCUGAACCAGGCCUACGCUCUCUGCAUGUGGGCACAGGCCUUCCACCUCUCCUGACAUCUGGUCUCUCUCUGCCUCCCUUCCCCUCACUGCUCUGGGUCACCCUCUGCCGGGUUGUCCACGCAGACUGCUGGAAAACAUACUGGC
ensembl:lncRNA